CUUGCUUUCCGGAGGCGGCAGGAACGUUUCAGGAGCUCCAAGGCUCUAGGCGCCUGCAUUCCUCGCCCCAGCCGGUAGUCUCCUAGCCCUGUUGAACGCAAGAGCAUCCAAGGGCGCGCAAGUCCCCAAGAGCUCUCAGAGGUUCCUGACCCUGAGCGUUAAAGCCCUUCCUCGCGGAUGAGACCCUUGGUGCGUUCCACCCGCUUGGGGGCUGAGACUCGCCAGGACGCACUCAGAAUGAACUUUCCGCGCAGGGUAGUAGUACUGAACUCGCCUGGUGAAUCUACA
rnacentral:lncRNA from 1 species